CGGGGUGAGUAAUGUCUGGGAAACUGCCUGAUGAGGGGGAGUAACUGCUGGAAACGGUAGCUAAUACCGCAUAACGUCGCAAGACCAAAGAGGGGACCUUCGGGCCUCUUGCCAUCGGAUGUGCCCAGAUGGGAUUAGCUAGUAGGUGGGGUAACGGCUCACCUAGGCGACGAUCCCUAGCUGGUCUGAGAGGAUGGCCAGCCACACUGGAACUGAGACACGGUCCAG
rnacentral:rRNA from 1 species